rnacentral:tRNA from 1 species
GUCCCUGUAGCGCAAUGGAUAGCGCAUUGGACUUCUAAUCCAAAGGUCGUGGGUUCGAAUCCCACCUGGAAUG